GGCUAGCGGGCUCACAUAACAGAGAUAAGUGCAAUAGCACUAACUAACUAUAUCUAUAUAGAAUGUUUUUUUUUAAUUCUAAAUUUAUAUAUUAGCAGUUAGUUAUAGCAGAUUAGAUUAAUCUAGAGCAGAUCGGUACUAAGGAAAGGAUAAGAUAAGGAUGCAAUCCAGAUCAUAAUGAGACAUUUCUCUGGUUUCAUUCAGAAAAAAAAAGGGGGGGGGAGGGGUAGAACGAGAAAAAAAAAAAAUGAAUUUCGACCGUUCCAAUUUUCAAAAUCGCGCGGAAAAAAGGACCGGGGGGAAAGGUAUGUAUAUGUGGGAUAUCUCUAUCCAUAUUGAAUGGCGGAUACAUCAAUGAUAGAAUCAUUUCUGAUGGGACCAAAUAUGGGGUCUUCCGAUAGAGAAUUUGGACAAAAAAUCAAAAAAAAAUCAUUAAAAUAUUAAAAUAGGAGUAGACCCUUUUUCGAAAUUGGGAAUCAGUAUCUAAUGAAUUCAACGGUUCUGACAUAAAUAAAUGAAAGAGGGGGAUGGGAUCACAAU
rnacentral:misc_RNA from 1 species